rnacentral:rRNA from 1 species
GAUGAACGCUGGCGGCGUGCCUAAUACAUGCAAGUCGAGCGAACAGACGAGGAGCUUGCUCCUCUGACGUUAGCGGCGGACGGGUGAGUAACACGUGGAUAACCUACCUAUAAGACUGGGAUAACUUCGGGAAACCGGAGCUAAUACCGGAUAAUAUAUUGAACCGCAUGGUUCAAUAGUGAAAGACGGUUUUGCUGUCACUUAUAGAUGGAUCCGCGCCGCAUUAGCUAGUUGGUAAGGUAACGGCUUACCAAGGCAACGAUGCGUAGCCGACCUGAGAGGGGGACGGCCACCAGGGAAAUGGAGACCGGGCCAAACACCGACGGGGGGGAGGAAGGGGGGAUCUUUCCGAAAGGGGGAAAAGCUGGCGGGAGCACGGCGGGGGGAGGAAUGAAGUUCUUGGAACAUAAAACCUUUGUUAUUAGGGAAAAAAAAAUGUGAAAGAAACUAUGCCCGUCUUGAGGGAACCUAAUCGGAAAGCCCGGGCAAACUAGGUG